AUACUUACCUGGCAGUGGAAAUACCACCGUCAAGAAGGUGGUUUCCCCAGGGUGAGGCUCUUCCAUUGCACAUUUCAGUUCAGUUGACCUCCGUGGUUUCCCUAAUGUGGGAAACUCGACUGCAUAAUUUAUGGUAGUGGGGGACUGCGUUCGCAAUGACUAUAU